rfam:Granulicatella elegans ATCC 700633 genomic scaffold supercont2.1, whole genome shotgun sequence.
UGAGCGUCAUGAUGGUAAUAAUCAUCUUGCGGUUGUGAGAUGAGAAGUCUGAGGCUACUGUAAAGUAGCCUUAUUCUUUCUCAUGAUUAUUUAGUCUAGCUCGCUGUCUCCCCGCCAGCGUUGGCGGG